rnacentral:misc_RNA from 1 species
AGCACAAUAUCUUCUACCAAUCAUAGCAUUAAUUUUUCAAGAAAUUUCUUCAGAUGGAGAAUGGAAAGAAGAGCAUGGCCGUUUUGGUUGGAUGUAAUUACCCAAACACCAACAACGAGUUGCAUGGUUGCAUUAAUGAUGUCUUAGCCAUGAGAGAUGUGCUUAUCAACCGAUUUGGGUUGGACCCUAGCCAUAUCCAGCUCCUAACUGAUGCACCUGCACCUGGGUCCUCAUCAUCGUCAUCACUGGUCAUGCCGACUGGUGCUAACAUAAAGAAGGCUCUUGAUCAGAUGGUUGAUCAGGCUCAACCAGGAGAUCUCCUGUAUUUCCAUUACAGUGGACAUGGAACAAGAAUCCCUUCUCUGAAGCCUGGCCAUCUCUUUAGGCAGGACGAGGCUAUUGUCCCCUGUGACUUCAAUCUCAUCACAGAUAUGGACUUCAGGCAACUAGUGAACCGGCUACCAAAGGGAGCAAGCUUCACAAUUCUUUCAGAUUCAUGCCACAGUGGUGGUCUCAUUGACAAAGAGAAAGAACAAAUCGGGCCUAAUUCACUAAUCACAGCUGAUCCAAAAAUGCAAAUCUCUCAUAAACCUAAAGCCAUCUCAUUUGAAUCAAUACUCCAACACUUGACAUCCCUCACAGGCAUAAACACAACUGAUAUUGGCACUCAGUUGUUAGAGUGCUUUGGAGCCAAUGCCAGCUUAAAAUUCAGACUUCCGAGGCUUGAAUUCGAUAAUUUUCUUGAAUUGUUGAAGCCUGAUGAUGGAAUUUUGUUAAGUGGGUGCCAAGCAAAUGAGACUUCAGCAGAUAUGAACCCAGUUGAGAGUGGAGGAAAAGCUUAUGGAGCAUUUAGCAAUGCAGUGCAACUGGUAUUGAAAGAGCAAUCUGAUCAAUUGAUUAGUAAUAGGCAGGUGGUGAUGUUGGCUAGAAAGGUGUUAGAGGCACAAGGGUUUGAGCAGCAUCCUUGCUUGUAUUGCAGUGAUGAGAAUGCUGAUGCUGCUUUCUUGUGGCAGCCGGAAAGCCAGAGCUAGAGCUAGCUCAUGUUUAUUUAUGUAUGAUGGUCUUGCUGUGUUUGUCGCCCCAGAGCAAUUGCUUUGUUGAAUUAAUAAUCACUUCGUAAUAAUUAAUAAAAGUGGCAAUUUAAUAUGGUGAAUCCAUU